UGCUUAAACAUGAAAUCUAAUGAGGCUAUUGCCUUGGUAUACGGCCUUAGUGUAACCUCAGAUGAGAUUUCCGCGUGCCCUACGCAGAGGCGUGCCUUAGUAAACCAUGAUAUUGGUAUUUGGUUGCAUUGAGGUCGCUCAAAAGAGGUAUUUCUGUCUGAUGUUAAACCUGCUUUACUACGAGGCAUCUGCAAUUCCAAAGAAGGUUGUUAAAGUAACUUAUUCUACAUCAUCUGCGGUGACUGGCAUGGAUCGUCUUCCACGUGAAGAUAUAGUGAAAAGAUCACUCCCACUUUGUUUUAGAGAGUUCUGAUUGGAAGGUCCACUUGGAAUCUAUUGAAAGCGUAACCAAAAUUCUAGAAGAGGUGAACAAACUUAUUCUGCUCGCUGGAACUGGGCAUUCUUUCAGAUGUCUUGAAAUGCCUUGGCGAUAACAAAAAGCAUAUGCCUGUUCGUAAAGCGGCUGAAGCAUGCUUUAAUGUAUUGAGGGUUCGUGGACAAGAAACGGUAUCAAAAAAUUUGAGAGAUAUACAAGGUUCUGCUACUUAUUAGCAAACGACUUAAGCCAUAUUGAGCUUUUCAAGAUAAUUAUGAAUCUGGUGGAUCUGUUUUGUCAAGUAUCACGUCCGAAAGCAUCCUAAAGACAGCAAAACCAAAUGGUCAUGGCGACUGCGAAUCUUGGCAUUGAAGUAGAAAUGCAUCUUCAAGAGCUGUACCUAACAAGGGAUCCAUGCAAGAAACCAUCUUGUCUGUUCAAGACAUCAACAUUCGGUCACAAGUUUUGUUCAGCAAGAUUCAAAUUCGAAGAAUUGCAUAUAGAGCAAAUUCAAGAUCUUGAGAGGAUCUGCAUCGGAGGCUCUUAAGUGCUAACUUAAAAAAUCAAGGCUCUUCCUCCAUGGAUGGGAGGUGAUUGAAGUCUUGGAUAUACUCUGGUUUGUGUUAAGGUUUUGUGAAUCCGACACAUCAUGCUUAUUAAAGCCAGUGAAUAUAUAUGUUUUUGAAUUUCUUCCCGGGCUUCUGGAUCUGUUGAAAAAUGAGGGCUACACUAUGACAGAAGCAGAGGCAACCCAUCUAUAUGUGAUAAUUUUUGGAGAUAUGUUGGGAAGCUUACUGAGGAACAAAGAAGUAUGUUGGAUGAUAGAAAUAAAUUGAAGAGAUGGAGAAGAGGAUGGAAGGCAUGCCAUGUGAAGCUAGAGCUGACCUAAGACCCUCCGUGCGAGAAAAUGUCUUAUGCAGAUGUAAACAUUGUUUUUGCAGUAGACGCUAUUCAAGCAUAAGGAGAAAUUGAAGGAGAAGAAACCUACUUCAACGGAGGCCCUUACCCAAACUCUUCAGGCAAUGCACAAGUCCGGAUGCUUGAGUCUAACUGACAUUGUUGAAGCCAUGAUCUACCUUUAUUUCAGUUCUGAACUGUUUGUUUAACCUCUGAAUAAUAUCAUAUCAUUUCCUGGUGCUUAGAAGUAUCUUGUGUGGAAUAGCAUAGGGUUGACUCCCUAUUAUAUGCUAUUCCACACUUUUGUGUGAAACCGAUGUGGGAUCGUAUCAAUCCAUCCCUCUUUUAAACCGGGUGGCAAACCCAAAGCCACGGGCCCACCAUCCCUUUGCUGCCCUUUUCCUUCCGGCCCACAUUUUUCGGUGGCACCCCUUUGGUCACACCUACGGGUAGCCCCUUUUUUACCGGACAUCCGGAUUCACGAUCACCGCACCAAGCAUCAAACCAAAAAAUUGCUCCAUGAGAUUUUUUCAUAAGUUUGUCGAACAUAUUGUCCCUUAAUGAUGGAUGGAACACCUGAUGUGCGGGAUGCAGCUUUGGCGGGCUAUUAACAAGGUUGUCGUGGGGUCGGAGAAGGGUUUUUGAGAGUCAACACGCUGAGUAGUGGUAUUUUCUGGUGGUAUUCAUGGACCCACGGUGGGGUCGGCCGACCCCGCCCGACCCCACCUAGAUCCGUCGAUGUUCGCAUGGCCCCACCACACAGAGCCAUUAUCUAUUUCCCAUCAAUAUAUGUAAAUAAUUUUUUUUAUAAAAGUUG